rnacentral:rRNA from 1 species
GAGGAAAAGAAACUAACAAGGAUUCCCCUAGUAACGGCGAGUGAAGAGGGAUGAGCCCAAAUUUGUAAUCUGGUUUUCUUUGAGGAUCAGAGUUGUAAUUUGAAGAGCUGUUUUCAGUGCUGGACYGUACAAAAGUUUGUUGGAAAACAACAUCAUUGAGGGUGAUAAUCCCGUUAAUGGUAUGGACUACCAGUGCAAUAUGAUACAGUUUCUAAGAGUCGAGUUGUUUGGGAAUGCAGCUCAAAGUGGGUGGUAAAUUCCAUCUAAGGCUAAAUAUUGAUGAGAGACCGAUAGCAAACAAGUACCGUGAGGGAAAGAUGAAAAGAACUUUGGAAAGAGAGUUAACAGUAUGUGAAAUUGUUAAAAGGGAAACACUUGAAGUUAGACUUGUUAUUGCCAGUUCAUUAACCUCUUUUGGGGGGAGUAUUCUGGUGGUUAACAGAUCAACAUCAGUUCUGAUUUUGUGCUGGAUAAGGGUUGUGGAAAUGUGGCAGUCUCUGACUGUGUUAUAGUCCAUGACUUUGAUAUGGUGCUUGGGACUGAGGUAUGCAGCAAGCUCUCUUUAGGGGGAGAGGAUUUACCUUGGUAGGUCUUCUUGCUGAGGAUGUUGAUGUAAUAGCUUUAAAUGACCCGUCUUGACCACCCGAA